rnacentral:misc_RNA from 1 species
GAAAUGCGAUAAGUAAUGUGAAUUGUAGAAUUCAGUGAAUCAUCGAAUCUUUGAACGCACCUUGCGCUCCUUGGUAUUCCGAGGAGCAUGCCUGUUUGAGUGUCAUGGAAUUCUCAACUCUAUUUGCUUUUGUGAAUAGAGCUUGGAUUUGGAGGUUUAUUGCUGGUACUUGUGAUCGGCUCCUCUUGAAUGCAUUAGCUCGAACCUUUGCGGAUCAGCUAUCGGUGUGAUAAUUGUCUACGCCGUUGCAGUGAAGCAUAUCAAUGGGCUCGGCUUCCAAUCGUCCUUUACUGGACAAUGACUUUGACCUUUGACCUCAAAUCAGGUAGGAUUACCCGCUGAACUUAAGC